GGUUUACAUGCUUGAUAUGAUCGAUAUUCUUGCUACAGGAUUAUAGCUUAGUGCAAAAUAUGAGCUCGUAACUCUCUUUGCCUCAUUUUAUACUAGUAUGAAGUAAAGUCACAAGAAUAGAGGAAUAAUAAUGCUACCUGAUGAAAUACAAAACUUUUAAACUAUAAUUUCAAAAUACAUGUGUUCAGUGCUAAAUUGAAUCCAUUAACUUUAAAUCCUCUUCAAAACGUGAUUCUAGAAGCCCAAAGGAACAAGGAGCUAAGGAUGUUUAAAGGAAUUAAUUGGCAAAUUUGCUAGGGGGAGCAGAAAACGUCGCAUUGUUCUAACCACUUGUGCUCAUAAUCCAUUGUCGAAGAAGUGUCCAAUAAAGCCUGCAAAUUUCCACGAAUUUUUUGCAAGCACUUGUGGUGACGAAGUCUCCUCAGCACAACAUUCUUAUCAAGAGAUUGAUGAGACGACUUCAAAUAGAGUUGGCUACUUACACUCUCAGUCUCAUGAUUGUCUUGGUCAUUAUGUGAGAAACUCACCUUUUGGGGCUCAGAGAAAGAAGAUCGUUGCUCUUUAGAUAUCAAGAAAGCCAUGUUUCUUUGAAUGAUGGUAAUAUCAAUAUUUCUCACAACUUAAGAGGUAAUGGAAGAAUGGUGAGUUGGAUUAAAUCUAUAAAUAGCAUUCUAUAUGCAAAUAUUUCUGUGGGUAUAUAGGCAACUCUUUUG
rnacentral:lncRNA from 1 species